CAGAGAUUUCCGAAUGGGGAAACCCAGCAUGAGUUAUGUCAUGUUAUCGAUAUGUGAAUACAUAGCAUAUCAGAAGGCACACCCGGAGAACUGAAACAUCUUAGUACCCGGAGGAAGAGAAAGAAAAUUCGAUUCCCUUAGUAGCGGCGAGCGAAACGGGAAGAGCCCAAACCAACAAGCUUGCUUGUUGGGGUUGUAGGACACUCUAUACGGAGUUACAAAGGACGACAUUAGACGAAUCAUCUGGAAAGAUGAAUCAAAGAAGGUAAUAAUCCUGUAGUCGAAAAUGUUGUCUCUCUUGAGUGGAUCCUGAGUACGACGGAGCACGUGAAAUUCCGUCGGAAUCUGGGAGGACCAUCUCCUAAGGCUAAAUACUCUCUAGUGACCGAUAGUGAACCAGUACCGUGAGGGAAAGGUGAAAAGCACCCCGGAAGGGGAGUGAAAUAGAACCUGAAACCGUGUGCUUACAAGUAGUCAGAGCCCGUUAAUGGGUGAUGGCGUGCCUUUUGUAGAAUGAACCGGCGAGUUACGAUUUGAUGCAAGGUUAAGCAGUAAAUGUGGAGCCGUAGCGAAAGCGAGUCUGAAUAGGGCGUUUAGUAUUUGGUCGUAGACCCGAAACCAGGUGAUCUACCCUUGGUCAGGUUGAAGUUCAGGUAACACUGAAUGGAGGACCGAACCGACUUACGUUGAAAAGUGAGCGGAUGAACUGAGGGUAGCGGAGAAAUUCCAAUCGAACCUGGAGAUAGCUGGUUCUCUCCGAAAUAGCUUUAGGGCUAGCCUCAAGUGAUGAUUAUUGGAGGUAGAGCACUGUUUGGACGAGGGGCCCCUCUCGGGUUACCGAAUUCAGACAAACUCCGAAUGCCAAUUAAUUUAACUUGGGAGUCAGAACAUGGGUGAUAAGGUCCGUGUUCGAAAGGGAAACAG
rnacentral:rRNA from 1 species